rnacentral:rRNA from 1 species
GUAGGGUGCGAGCGUUAAUCGGAAUUACUGGGCGUAAAGCGUGCGCAGGCGGUUUGUUAAGAUAGGCGUGAAUCCCCGGGCUCAACCUGGGAACUGCGCUUAUGACUGGCAAGCUAGAGUACGGCAGAGGGGGGUGGAAUUCCACGUGUAGCAGUGAAAUGCGUAGAGAUGUGGAGGAACACCAAUGGCGAAGGCAGCCCCCUGGGUCGAUACUGACGCUCAUGCACGAAAGCGUGGGUAGCAAACAGGAUUAGAUACCCUGGUAGUCCACGCCCUAAACGAUGUCAACUAGGUGUUGGGAGGGUAAAACCUUUUAGUACCGGAGCUAACGCGUGAAGUUGACCGCCUGGGGAGUACGGCCGCAAGGUUA